rnacentral:rRNA from 1 species
UACAGAGGGUGCGAGCGUUAAUCGGAAUUACUGGGCGUAAAGCGUGCGUAGACGGCUAUCUAAGUCGGGUGUGAAAGCCCCGGGCUCAACCUGGGAAUUGCAUUCGAGACUGAAUAGCUAGGGUACGGUAGAGGGAAGCGGAAUUUCCGGUGUAGCGGUGAAAUGCGUAGAUAUCGGAAGGAACAUCAGUGGCGAAGGCGACUUACUGGACUGUAACUGACGCUGAGGCAUGAAAGCGUGGGGAGCAAACAGG